rnacentral:rRNA from 1 species
GAUGAACGCUGGCGGCGUGCCUAAUACAUGCAAGUCGAGCGAACGGACGAGAAGCUUGCUUCUCUGAUGUUAGCGGCGGACGGGUGAGUAACACGUGGAUAACCUACCUAUAAGACUGGGAUAACUUCGGGAAACCGGAGCUAAUACCGGAUAAUAUUUUGAACCGCAUGGUUCAAAAGUGAAAGACGGUCUUGCUGUCACUUAUAGAUGGAUCCGCGCUGCAUUAGCUAGUUGGUAAGGUAACGGCUUACCAAGGCAACGAUGCAUAGCCGACCUGAGAGGGUGAUCGGCCACACUGGAACUGGGACACGGUCCAGACUCCUACGGGAGGCAGCAGUAGGGAAUCUUCCGCAAUGGGCGAAAGCCUGACGGAGCAACGCCGCGUGAGUGAUGAAGGUCUUCGGAUCGUAAAACUCUGUUAUUAGGGAAGAACAUAUGUGUAAGUAACUGUGCACAUCUUGACGGUACUAAUCAGAAAGCCACGGCUAACUACGUG